GGGACCCUGCCCUGCCACACAAGGUGUUCCUGGACCCUCUGUCACCUCUGGGUGACAGCAUGGACCACACUGCCCCUGGCCUGGGCAGACCCUGGCAGGAGGGGGCAUAGGGUCCAGCCCUGGUCUGAGCCUGUCUCAGGCCAUGAGGCUGUGGGGACUUGGGGACUGCAAGGGACCUCCUGGUUUGGUCCCUUUUGUGACCCAGAGGAGUCCUGGAGCCUGCAGCGUUCCCCAAACUGUGGCACAGGCACCCCAGCGCGCAGAGCAGUGACACAGGCAGUGUCCCUGAGUCCCCAAGCCCUGCCAGCUCCAGCUUCAGCCCCUCAGCCUCGGCCAUCCCGACAGCCUCGAUCACAAAAGCCUCGGCCUCUCCGAUCUUGCGGAUCUUUUCUGCCUCCGCCUGAGCCAGGAGGAUUUGCUUCACCCUGGCAAGGGAAACGCAGCCCUGCAGCAGCCUGGAUCCCUGCAGAGAGCCCAGGAGCUGGGGCUCAGGGCAGCACUGUGCUUCUCCAGCCCGGCCCAGGGCAGGGCUCACUCACUUCUCGCCCUCAGCGAUCUGCUGGAUGCGAUAGGCCUCGGCCUCGGCCGGCUGCUUCACGGUGGCCGUCAGCUCCUUCUCCAUCCUCACCACCUCCUUCUCCUCCACCUCAAUCUGCUUCUUGCGCUCCACCACCUCGAUCUCGAUCUCCUCCUGACGGAUCUUCUGCUGCUCCCGGGCGCUCUGGAGCUCGUAGGCCAGCUGGGCCUCUGCAGUCUGCACACGGGGGAGAGGAGAAGAGGGGUCAGGGCCAUGAACUCGGGUACACAGACAUAAGGACCUCAAAACCAGACAUGACUCCUGCUAUUGAACCUUUUCCCAGUGCUGACAUCCCAAUCCUCAGUGCUGCUCUUCCCACAGCACUUAAGCCCAUAUCAGCUCCAGGUUCAACCCUCCCCAUCCUUUCCUGUUCUCCAAGUCCCACUGAAUUGCUGCAAACAGGAGAGGAAUCUGCUGCAAGCUCACAGUGACACACAGACCUGGGUUUUCCGCCUCCAGCUCUCCUAACAGAUGUAGGAGGAGGAAGCUGACAAGUCCCAGAGCUACCAACACCACCACAGACCAUCCAGGAACAGCAGUGGGCUGUGGGAUACUCUCACCUUAAUGUUGACUUCCUCAGUGAAGGCAGCUUUCUGCAACUCAAAAGCCCGUUUGGAAUCUGCUAUUUUGGUAUCUGCCAUGAACUUGACAUCCAGCAUUUCCUUCUUGCACUCUGCCUCCUGCAGAGAGGGAACAGAGAGCAGAGCUCCAGGGCAUGCAGUUGGAGCAGAAAAGGCUGCUCCAGGGAAGCCCAGCACGUCUCCAGACUCACCCGAAUGCCAGCAUCCCGCUCGGCUUCUGCCACUCCAAUGUCUGCAUCCCUUUGGACAGCUGCAAUCUGAGUCUUCCCCAGGGAGCUCAGGUUUAUUCCAGAGCAGCUGGCUUCUCUCCCUGGACAACAGCAACCACUUCAGAGGGAAAACCAGAGUGUCCCGUGACCCAAAGAUGGAAAUGAGUCUCCAGCUCUUUAUGGCUGCACCUGUAGAGCAUCAGGCACCCAGGAACAGAUCCUACAGCUCCAGAGCUGUCUCUGUCACCCCAGGUGGGCUCAAGGUUAAUGCUACCUGGCGGGAUGCCGCUGACAGCAACACAAUUGCUCCUGUCUCUCUUGCUUGCAGCACUGGCAGUUCCAGAAAAAAUGUCCUAAUUUCAGAGAAGGAAAUCUGUCUCACUCUUCAUGUUAAUGCAGCGGGCUCCAUCUGGGGCACAGCUUAAGGCAUGCAAGAAAGGAGAAUUAAGCCCCACAUCCCACUGCACGAACUGGUAUGGAUUUGAAAGCAGAAGGUUUGUUUGGAUGCUGGAAUUCCUGUCAAGAGCCUCAUUUGCUAAAUAAUGCCCAGAGCUCUAUCAUGUAACAGCUCGUUCCUGGCAAUCCAGUUCUUGGCCCUGGAUUCAGCCUAUCCUUAACUUAAUAAAUCAGCCUCCCAAA